rnacentral:rRNA from 1 species
AGUGAACGCUGGCGGUAGGCCUAACACAUGCAAGUCGAACGGCAGCACAGUAAGAGCUUGCUCUUACGGGUGGCGAGUGGCGGACGGGUGAGGAAUACAUCGGAAUCUACUUUUUCGUGGGGGAUAACGUAGGGAAACUUACGCUAAUACCGCAUACGACCUACGGGUGAAAGCAGGGGAUCUUCGGACCUUGCGCGAUUGAAUGAGCCGAUGUCGGGUUAGCUAGUUGGCGGGGUAAAGGCCCACCAAGGCGACGAUCCGUAGCUGGUCUGAGAGGAUGAUCAGCCACACUGGAACGUAGACACGGUCCAGACUCCUACGGGAGGCAGCAGUGGGGAAUAUUGGACAAUGGGCGCAAGCCUGAUCCAGCCAUACCGCGUGGGUGAAGAAGGCCUUCGGGUUGUAAAGCCCUUUUGUUGGGAAAGAAAAGCAGCAGGUUAAUACCCCGCUGUUCUGACGGUACCCAAAGAAUAAGCACCGGCUAACUUCGUG